rnacentral:snoRNA from 1 species
AACCAGCCUCAGCCAACCAGUUCCUUUCUUUAUGGGGACUGGUAUGGAAUGGCUGCCAAGAGUAACCUCCUCGGUAGUGUAUGCGGCCUGCUGUCUGUCUGGGCUCCCCUUAGAGACCUUUGAGACAGUU